UUAAGCGACUAAGCGUACACGGUGGAUGCCCUGGCAGUCAGAGGCGAUGAAGGACGUGCUAAUCUGCGAAAAGCGUCGGUAAGGUGAUAUGAACCGUUACAGCCGGCGAUGUCCGAAUGGGGAAACCCAGUGUGAUUCGUCACACUAUCGUUAACUGAAUACAUAGGUUAACGAGGCGAACCGGGGGAACUGAAACAUCUAAGUACCCCGAGGAAAAGAAAUCAACCGAGAUUCCCCCAGUAGCGGCGAGCGAACGGGGAGCAGCCCAGAGUCUGAAUCAGCUUGUGUGUUAGUGGAACGGUCUGGAAAGUCCGACGGUACAGGGUGAUAGUCCCGUACACCAAAAUGCACAGGCUGUGAACUCGAAGAGUAGGGCGGGACACGUGGUAUCCUGUCUGAAUAUGGGGGGACCAUCCUCCAAGGCUAAAUACUCCUGACUGACCGAUAGUGAACCAGUACCGUGAGGGAAAGGCGAAAAGAACCCCGGCGAGGGGAGUGAAAAAGAACCUGAAACCGUGUACGUACAAGCAGUGGGAGCACCUUCGGGUGUGACUGCGUACCUUUUGUAUAAUGGGUCAGCGACUUAUAUUCUGUAGCAAGGUUAACCGUAUAGGGGAGCCGCAGGGAAACCGAGUCUUAACUGGGCGUUAAGUUGCAGGGUAUAGACCCGAAACCCGGUGAUCUAGCCAUGGGCAGGUUGAAGGUUGGGUAACACUAACUGGAGGACCGAACCGACUAAUGUUGAAAAAUUAGCGGAUGACUUGUGGCUGGGGGUGAAAGGCCAAUCAAACCGGGAGAUAGCUGGUUCUCCCCGAAAGCUAUUUAGGUAGCGCCUCGUGAACUCAUCUUCGGGGGUAGAGCACUGUUUCGGCUAGGGGGUCAUCCCGACUUACCAACCCGAUGCAAACUACGAAUACCGAAGAAUGUUAUCACGGGAGACACACGGCGGGUGCUAACGUCCGUCGUGAAGAGGGAAACAACCCAGACCGCCAGCUAAGGUCCCAAAGUCAUGGUUAAGUGGGAAACGAUGUGGGAAGGCACAGACAGCCAGGAUGUUGGCUUAGAAGCAGCCAUCAUUUAAAGAAAGCGUAAUAGCUCACUGGUCGAGUCGGCCUGCGCGGAAGAUGUAACGGGGCUAAACCAUGCACCGAAGCUGCGGCAGCGACACUAUGUGUUGUUGGGUAGGGGAGCGUUCUGUAAGCCUGCGAAGGUGUGCUGUGAGGCAUGCUGGAGGUAUCAGAAGUGCGAAUGCUGACAUAAGUAACGAUAAAGCGGGUGAAAAGCCCGCUCGCCGGAAGACCAAGGGUUCCUGUCCAACGUUAAUCGGGGCAGGGUGAGUCGACCCCUAAGGCGAGGCCGAAAGGCGUAGUCGAUGGGAAACAGGUUAAUAUUCCUGUACUUGGUGUUACUGCGAAGGGGGGACGGAGAAGGCUAUGUUAGCCGGGCGACGGUUGUCCCGGUUUAAGCAUGUAGGCUGGUUGUCCAGGCAAAUCCGGAUAAUCAAGGCUGAGGUGUGAUGACGAGGCACUACGGUGCUGAAGUAACAAAUGCCCUGCUUCCAGGAAAAGCCUCUAAGCAUCAGGUAACAUCAAAUCGUACCCCAAACCGACACAGGUGGUCAGGUAGAGAAUACCAAGGCGCUUGAGAGAACUCGGGUGAAGGAACUAGGCAAAAUGGUGCCGUAACUUCGGGAGAAGGCACGCUGGUGUGUAGGUGAAGUCCCUGCGGAUGGAGCUGAGACCAGUCGAAGAUACCAGCUGGCUGCAACUGUUUAUUAAAAACACAGCACUGUGCAAACACGAAAGUGGACGUAUACGGUGUGACGCCUGCCCGGUGCCGGAAGGUUAAUUGAUGGGGUUAUCCGUAAGGAGAAGCUCUUGAUCGAAGCCCCGGUAAACGGCGGCCGUAACUAUAACGGUCCUAAGGUAGCGAAAUUCCUUGUCGGGUAAGUUCCGACCUGCACGAAUGGCGUAAUGAUGGCCAGGCUGUCUCCACCCGAGACUCAGUGAAAUUGAACUCGCUGUGAAGAUGCAGUGUACCCGCGGCAAGACGGAAAGACCCCGUGAACCUUUACUAUAGCUUGACACUGAACAUUGAGCCUUGAUGUGUAGGAUAGGUGGGAGGCUUUGAAGCGUGGACGCCAGUCUGCGUGGAGCCAACCUUGAAAUACCACCCUUUAAUGUUUGAUGUUCUAACGUUGGCCCCUUACCGGGGUUGCGGACAGUGUCUGGUGGGUAGUUUGACUGGGGCGGUCUCCUCCCAAAGCGUAACGGAGGAGCACGAAGGUUAGCUAAUCCUGGUCGGACAUCAGGAGGUUAGUGCAAUGGCAUAAGCUAGCUUGACUGCGAGCGUGACGGCGCGAGCAGGUGCGAAAGCAGGUCAUAGUGAUCCGGUGGUUCUGAAUGGAAGGGCCAUCGCUCAACGGAUAAAAGGUACUCCGGGGAUAACAGGCUGAUACCGCCCAAGAGUUCAUAUCGACGGCGGUGUUUGGCACCUCGAUGUCGGCUCAUCACAUCCUGGGGCUGAAGUAGGUCCCAAGGGUAUGGCUGUUCGCCAUUUAAAGUGGUACGCGAGCUGGGUUUAGAACGUCGUGAGACAGUUCGGUCCCUAUCUGCCGUGGGCGCUGGAGAAUUGAGGGGGGCUGCUCCUAGUACGAGAGGACCGGAGUGGACGCAUCACUGGUGUUCGGGUUGUCAUGCCAAUGGCACUGCCCGGUAGCUAAAUGCGGAAGAGAUAAGUGCUGAAAGCAUCUAAGCACGAAACUUGCCCCGAGAUGAGUUCUCCCUGAGACUUUAAGUCUCCUGAAGGAACGUUAAAGACGAUGACGUUGAUAGGCCGGGUGUGUAAGCGCAGCGAUGCGUUGAGCUAACCGGUACUAAUGAACCGUGAGGCUUAACCUU
rnacentral:rRNA from 1 species